rnacentral:rRNA from 1 species
UACGGAGGGUGCAAGCGUUAUCCGGAAUCAUUGGGUUUAAAGGGUCCGCAGGCGGUUCUAUAAGUCAGUGGUGAAAUCUCUCGACUCAACCGAGAAACUGCCAUUGAUACUGUAGGACUUGAAUUCGGUCGAAGUGGGCGGAAUAUGACAUGUAGCGGUGAAAUGCUUAGAUAUGUCAUAGAACACCGAUAGCGAAGGCAGCUCACUAGGCCUGGAUUGACGCUCAGGGACGAAAGCGUGGGGAGCAAACAGGG